AUACGGAGGUGGUUAGCGUUGUUCGGAAUUACUGGGCGUAAAGCGCACGUAGGCGGACUGAUCAGUUAGAGGUGAAAUCCCAGGGCUCAACCCUGGAACUGCCUUUAAUACUGUCAGUCUAGAGAUCGAGAGAGGUGAGUGGAAUUCCAAGUGUAGAGGUGAAAUUCGUAGAUAUUUGGAGGAACACCAGUGGCGAAGGCGGCUCACUGGCUCGAUACUGACGCUGAGGUGCGAAAGCGUGGGGAGCAAACAGGAUUAGAAACCCUAGUAGUCC
rnacentral:rRNA from 1 species